rnacentral:lncRNA from 1 species
GAAAGAAUGUAAAUGACAAAUACCCAACUGAACCAUUCAAGAAAUAACUGACAUUCACUGGAAAAGGUAAUGCAAUGAUAUUAACUUUUAAAAAUGGAUUAUUAGAUGAUUCUUUUAAAAUAUUUUGUCGUAUGUGAAUAAAGAACUGGAGGGCUAAAAAGUUUUCAUUCAAUUCGGUCAACUAAGCAGCAAUGAAAGUGAAAGUAUGACUGGAAAAUCCAGCAGAUCUCUUGAUAGCAGAGCUACAGCUGCACCACACAGAAGACACGGAGCUCAGUCUGGAAGCUCUUCCUGCGCCGACAUGAAGUCUUCAUUUACAGAGUGGAUGAUUUCCCUGAGAGGGAUGAAACCUUCUGGAAAUGAGAGCAGAAAACCUCUGAUUGACGGCAGCAGCGACGCUGGAGAUGUGACAUCAGCAAGUUCAACGCAGCCAGACCCGGACCGGGACCACAAGAACCUCCAGGAAGAGGUCAGGCAGUUUUUAACCAGGGCACUGCAGAGCCAACCCUGUUGCUGCGAAGAAGAUUAUGUCAGACUUUAUGUGGACAUUAUUCCAUUCAUCAGAGCCAAAACUGCAGCAGCAGUGGUAUGUGAUGGUGUGUGGGCGGUUUGUUACAGAGAGCUGCAGGAGUUUGUGCAGAGGUUCAAACAGCAGCAGACUGAGGAGCUCGGAAACAAAGCAAAGACUUGGAGAGAAAACAGGAAAACGUUUGAAACAAUAGACUUCCUGAAGACUUUGAAAACCUGUAAAGAACUCAGGCUGCACAUCCAGACUGCAGUUGGAAGGAUUCCUCCGUCUCUCCUCAAAGAUACUGUUGCAGAGCUGGAAGACAUGGAGGUUGUGACCAUGAACCUCUUGAUGGGCGUCAUUGCUAGAAUGACUGAGAGCCACCUUAAAGAUUACUUCAGAUCAGCUCAAAAAUGGCUUCCACUGUUGACUGAUUUGGUGAACUAUUUCCCCAAACGGCCGUAUGCCGCUGAGGAGCAAAAGGUGAGAAACAGACCCAGACGGGGGAUCUGGGAAUCUUUCCUGAUCUGA